UGCAGUCUGGUGAGAGGGUUCCGAGUUGAGGGGGAACUGCUUCAGAAUAAUGCAAAGGGAAUCAUUAUGGAUAUUUAUGUAUAAGACUUUUUCACUGGCUGUGAAUAACAGUUUAUGUGAAUAACCUUGAAUCCCCCUGAACAAAAGAAGAGCUCAGCCUCCUGUUUUUUAACACACGUUGAAUGGAUAUUGAAACGUUUAUAAUAAUGUGGAACUUUCCGGCACACUUUCAUCGUUUCAAGGCCAAGGAAUUGAAUUCUUUAAGAUAGUCAACAUUCUGUCUCUGCAGCUGCUGCCAGUUUAAUUAGACUGUUUAGUUUUUAAUGUUUGAAAUGUCCAGUCCAUGAUGCCAUUAACAAAGGUUCCUAUACUAGACAUUUUUUAACAAAAAAGUAUCUAUCUAUCUAUCUAUCUAUCUAUCUAUCUAUCUAUCUAUCUAUCUAUCUAUCUAUCUAUCUGUAUUGUACCAACUCUGUGUCUGCUGUAACCACGUUCGGGGAAGGUUCUGUGACCCAGGGCACGGGCAGGUGUUCGGCGAUGUCAGAGACGGGAGAAUCGCCACCAAUCAACCUUGGACGAGGAAAUAAUUAACAGAGUACUGCUGGGCAGCUGAGACGGAGAGGCAAUCUGGAGUCGAAGAAAGAGCACAUAAGCAACACUCAAGGGGUGCAGAAGAAAAGUGGGACUGUAAGAGAGAGAAUCCAGAGACUGAACUGGAUAGUUGUAGCACACAGCUGAAACAGUGUGAUUUGAAAUUGUCAUUUCUUUUCUUAUUUGUCACAGUCUGAGUAGCACUAUGUUGCUCGGCUGUAUUUGUACCACUGUCUGGUAAAGCAAUUCAUUUAUCCUGUCAAGUGUAGAGUCUCGGCUUAAUAAACCACUGCAUUCGAGAACCUGAAACCUAGUGUGAGUCUGCCUUCAUUUCCAUGCAGUGCUACACUUGUGUACAGAAGUGAGAUUAUGGACUCUGUGCUGCGGGACAUGGAGGCGAGGAUCCAGGCUGGAUGAAAAUGACACUGCCUACAGAACGGGUCAAGACAGAGGCAGUCACAGGGAAGACCGGACCCAGAGUCAGGCCAAUGAGGAAGGGGGGACCCAUGUAAGCCGCCCAAAUUCAACAGCAAAAUCACCUGGGAGGCCUUGCCAUGCCUAUUGACCCUGUCACUGGGGUAGGGGCUGGACCCUGGGGCAUUGCAUCGCCUUUUCAGGAGCACCUACAGUCUGGGCUGCUCCGCAACGAGCUGAAGCAGGAAGCUGGGGGAGCCACUGAGGGGACAAGUGAUCCAGUUUUUGGAGGCUCUGGGACCUGGGGAGGUCCAGCUAGCCCAGCUGCACACGUUGUGGGAAACACUUGAGCUGGUGACCGAGAGAGUAGGUGUUUGGGCCCCCUGCGAGAUUGGGGAGGUUGAGAGAGGCUGGCCAGUGGCCCUGUAUGCCAAGAUGGAACAAGGGGAGGACAAGAACAGCCAGUUCACCCCACCAGGCUCCCGAAACUCGUCGCCUUGAUUCAGGCCACGUCUUCAUAGGACCUUCGGUCGGUUGGUCCCCACACAAGCCUGUGUUGGGGCUGUGGACAGCCGGGACACCUGCAGUGCCAGUGCCCAGCAACCACCACCCCGUCACACUACACAGUGCCACUCCCAACUAGGGGAGCCCAACAGCACAGCUGGGUGAGUGAGGCUCCAUACAGCAAACUGAAAUGACAGCAGGUUCUUUAGAUUCCCAGGAUCCACCACAACACCAACACAGAGGAAAGUAUAAUCAAAGUUACCAUUUUUUAUUUGGUUAACAAGGCAAAAACAAGUAGGGAUAACUCAUUGAGCAAAUGUACACAAAGUUUUUUUAAAUAUUAUUUAGAACAACGUCCUUCAAACAAGUUUCUUCUUAACUGGUAGAAUUGAGAUUGUAGUGUCAUAAAUGUAAAUAUAUCUAUUAAUAAUUCUGGUAUGGUUGUUGUCCGAGGUCAGAGUCAUGGAGUGAUGUCACCGAGGAUGAAGACCUCCUCUAGCGUCCAAACUGAAUCUAGAGUGGGAGAUCCCAGGAAACCUGGGAGGGGGCAAAACAGUAAAGACAUUCAGGGUCCAGCACAUAUACAGGUGCCACCCUUUGUGCCUCAUCUCUCACUCUACACUCAAUAAUGAUCAACUCCACUGCCGCUGAUCACAGCUCAAGAAGCCUUAUUUAACACACAAAAGGCUGGCUCAGCACAGGGUAUCCACCCUGUUCCACACUGCAACUCAAGGUUGGCAGACAAUUCCCCAGCCCGGAACAAUACAAUCCACACACCGCUGUAACUUUCUUGUUAGACUCAAUGAAUGAUCCACUUCCUGCUAAACCAAAGGAUUUAGCAAAGCAGACAAAAAAUUUUAAAAAGUCCCAGAAUAAAAUACAACAGUUCUCAAUGUCCUGUUUCAUUCCGUUCCUUAUUUCUC